CCAAGAGUCACAGUUCCGAUGUCAGCUAUGACAGUAGAUCCAGAGGUAACUUCAGGCGACUGGUUAGUCAUUUCUUUUCCAUGUACAAAACGGUGUGCAUACUAAUGCACCCCACUUGGUCCUGCUGCGGUCCUAUCCAUCAGCUACUCUGUGCACCCCCCAUACUGGCUCUUCUGUCCUGUUCUCCCACAGUUUCAGCUCUGAAUGUUAAUGUCUGCCCACAGAAAUAGGUCAGAGCUCUGGAGCAGAGAACACCUGGGGAUUCAGAAUCAUCCCAGAGUGCUGUAUUUCUUCACCUGCCCAGACUGCACCCCUCAAGUCAGAUGUCCACUCACAAGGAACCAAUGUAUAAUGACCUCCCUGGGGACACUCCAAGGACUCCGAUCCUGUCAGCUGUGUCCUGGGGCGCAGACUCUGAACGGACAAUCCACAUUGGGGUCUGUGUGCAGUGCUAUGAAUUCAGCUCAGAACCUACGUAUAUAUCUUCAAAAUGAUUUGAAGGCCAGGUGUGGUGGUGCUCCCCUGUAAUUCCAGCACUCAGAAGGCUGAGGCAGGAGGAUCGCCUCAAGUUCAAGGCCAGCCUGGGCUACAUAGCAAGGCCCUGUCUCAAAAAGCCAGUCAACAAAACAAAACAAAAAGAGAUUUGAAGUUCCUUUGCCAGUUUUUGUAUUUGUACUGGUGGACAAGAUGCCACUGUUCCAUGCUUAAAAAUGUAAUCUUUCACUGUGCUGAGAAUUGAACCAUCCCACCGAGCAGACAAGCAAGGCCCAUCAACCAGUCAAAGCAUUCUGGAAUGGAAAUCUCACCUUCUCAGACUAAGUCCCCGGCAGUGUUAACUCCGUGCUGUACGAGCUUCUGGCUGUCACCUAGUGCUUUAAUGUUGUCCUGGUCAUUGGUGUCCACCUCUUGCAAAAGGGUCACCAGUUCCUCACCCAAGAGCUUCUGGAGGGCCCCUGUAAGUCACUGCAGUGCUGUUUGAGGAUGCCAUCUGUGACGCACUCUCUUCAGUCUGCCUCUGUGCCUCCUGCAGCCGCUGCUCCCACUCCACCUGUAGCUCUGUCACCCCCGUGUCCUGCACCAGCAGCUUGGGCUCCAGCCUCAGGCUCCCCCCAUUCAGCCAGGCAGCCAGUGGCUGAGGGCACAGGUUACCCCUCUCCCUUUAAUGACUUGUAAGGAACAUCUUGAGUUAUUUCCCUAUUGGUGGCUCAAGG
ensembl:lncRNA